GAGGGUAUAGCUCAGUGGUAGAGUGCAUGCCUAGCAUGCAUGAGGUACUAGGUUCGAUCCCCAGUGCCUCCA
rnacentral:tRNA from 1 species